AAAGUAUAAUAGAAGCCAUUGAUGAUGCAGAGAGCUAUAAGCUAGACUCAGAAUUAGCCAAUUCUAUGGCUAGCAUACUUCGUGAAGAGGAUUGACAAUCUUGUUUCUGGCACAAGUUGAAAAAUGACAUUUUUUGGACCUUUGGUUAUGUAUUUUUAAUUUUACGUUGU